CAUGGUGUUUCUGGUAGCCGGGACGCUCUGCUUCGCUUGGUGGAGUGAAGGGGAUGCAGGUGCCCAGCCUGACCAGCGGGUCCCACCUGCUGAGCACGCCGUGUCCCAGGCCUCUAGACCCCUGCUCAGGUCUGUCAGCUUCUUCUGCUGUGGAGCAGGUGGCCUGCUGCUGCUCUGCGGCCUGCUGUGGUCCCUCAAGGCCAGCAGGCGGGGGCCACCCCGGUGGGACCCAUACCACCUCUCCAGAGACCUGUACUACCUCACUGUGGAGACCUCGGAGGAGGAGAAUUGCAGGUCAGUGGGGCCGGGUGGGGACCUUAAGGGACUGAUCAUAGUCACACUAUUCAGCAUUUUCUCAGUAAAUUCUCCUGAGGCUCUUUCUCUGGACCAGGUCCUUCCCUGUAUCCCAGGUUGAUCAGUGGGUCUGUACUGACCUGAAGGAGUUUAAAGCCUCUUCAGCAGAUGACAAGCCAGAGUAGUUAGAGCUGUGUGAGAGAGACAGACACGUUCCCUGGGGACGUGGAGAAAUCCAGGCAGGCUUCCAGGAAGAGGUGAGCUCAGUGGCAUAGCAGAGGAGUUUAGAGCUCAGGCACAAGAAGGAUUCAGGUCCACUGGGAUCCUGACCCAGUUCUAUCACUAACUAGCUGAGGGACUUCAAGUCAGUCACACCCUUGCUCCAUAAGCCUCAGCUUCUUCAUCUGAAUUUAAACCAUAGUAGCGGCAACAACAAUAAUAGCACGUGCCUGCGUGGUACCUGCCAUGUACCGCUAUUCAUGGUGACACUGUCAGUCCUCAUGGUGGCCCUCUGAAGCAGCUACUGCUAUUUUUAUUUUUUGGUAGCAGGGAAUUGAACCCAGGGGCACUUAACUACUGAGCCACAUUCCUAUCUCAUUUUAAUUUUUUUUUUUGAGACAGGGUCUUGCUAAGUUGGUUAGAGCCUUGCUAAGUUGCUGAGACUAGCCUUGAUCCUCUGCCUCAGCCUCCCAAGCUGCUAGGAUUACAGGAGUGCACUUCUGCACCCAGUCAGCUUUUUCUUUUUUUAGAUGUGUAGACCUUUAUUUUAUUAUUUACUUAUACAUGUUGCUGAGAAUCAAACCCAGUGCCUCACACAUGCUAGGCAAGCGCUCUACCACUGAGCCACAGCCUCAGCCUCCAGCUACUGUUUUUAACUGCAUUCCAUAGACGAGGAAACCCAGGCACCAAGUCAUUAAGUAACUUGCUUGGGAACAUCCAGCUAGUGUGUCUCAGAACUGGGACUUGAACACUGGCCUCCCCACACUCCUUAUGAAAUGAAAUGAUGUGAUGUCUAUGUAGAGUGUAGCCCAGUGCCCAGCACACAGUAGGUGCACAGGAAAUGUCAACUUUCCCUCAAGGGGACAGGUAUGUGCAAGUGCACAGGGCAGGGUGGAGACAGAUGCCGCAUGAAUUUCUCCUCCGGUUGUGCCAUGAUUGCUGUCAUCCCGGCCUUCUGGGACAUUUUUUUCUUACUUCUCCAUGAAAUUUGACUCCCAUAGACGUGAGGCCUCUCUGUGGGUAUUCUGUGUCUACGUCUGUGCUCUCUUCCUAAAAGGAACAUCACCCAGCCCCAGAACCAGUUUUGCCCUGGUGAGCAUGCCUGAGGGACGCAUGCCCUUAUGUCCUUAUUUAUUCAACAAACGACCUGGUGUGCCACACCUCAGGGGCCUGCCUGCAUCAUCUGUCUUUUGGUCCUUCUGUCCAUCUAGGGCUCCCAGCAUAAGAAUUACUGUUGCCAUUUGCAAGGCACAACUUAAAAGUGGUGGGAGCCUGCUGGCUGCAAAGCUUGUCCCCCCUCCCAUGCCAUCCAGCAGCGCUGGACUUAGGCGCAGCAGGGGCUCACCCAGAUUCCUGUGAGCCGCCCCUCUUCCCUUUGUUAGAGGGCAGAUGAAUGUGCUUGUUCCUGCUCUGGCCAGACAGCACUCAGCACAGCCACUGAGCCCAGGAGUCAGCCCCCUGGGGCUGACUGUUAGAGGGAGNCUGUCAGCUUCUUCUGCUGUGGAGCAGGUGGCCUGCUGCUGCUCUGCGGCCUGCUGUGGUCCCUCAAGGCCAGCAGGCGGGGGCCACCCCGGUGGGACCCAUACCACCUCUCCAGAGACCUGUACUACCUCACUGUGGAGACCUCGGAGGAGGAGAAUUGCAGGUCAGUGGGGCCGGGUGGGGACCUUAAGGGACUGAUCAUAGUCACACUAUUCAGCAUUUUCUCAGUAAAUUCUCCUGAGGCUCUUUCUCUGGACCAGGUCCUUCCCUGUAUCCCAGGUUGAUCAGUGGGUCUGUACUGACCUGAAGGAGUUUAAAGCCUCUUCAGCAGAUGACAAGCCAGAGUAGUUAGAGCUGUGUGAGAGAGACAGACACGUUCCCUGGGGACGUGGAGAAAUCCAGGCAGGCUUCCAGGAAGAGGUGAGCUCAGUGGCAUAGCAGAGGAGUUUAGAGCUCAGGCACAAGAAGGAUUCAGGUCCACUGGGAUCCUGACCCAGUUCUAUCACUAACUAGCUGAGGGACUUCAAGUCAGUCACACCCUUGCUCCAUAAGCCUCAGCUUCUUCAUCUGAAUUUAAACCAUAGUAGCGGCAACAACAAUAAUAGCACGUGCCUGCGUGGUACCUGCCAUGUACCGCUAUUCAUGGUGACACUGUCAGUCCUCAUGGUGGCCCUCUGAAGCAGCUACUGCUAUUUUUAUUUUUUGGUAGCAGGGAAUUGAACCCAGGGGCACUUAACUACUGAGCCACAUUCCUAUCUCAUUUUAAUUUUUUUUUUUGAGACAGGGUCUUGCUAAGUUGGUUAGAGCCUUGCUAAGUUGCUGAGACUAGCCUUGAUCCUCUGCCUCAGCCUCCCAAGCUGCUAGGAUUACAGGAGUGCACUUCUGCACCCAGUCAGCUUUUUCUUUUUUUAGAUGUGUAGACCUUUAUUUUAUUAUUUACUUAUACAUGUUGCUGAGAAUCAAACCCAGUGCCUCACACAUGCUAGGCAAGCGCUCUACCACUGAGCCACAGCCUCAGCCUCCAGCUACUGUUUUUAACUGCAUUCCAUAGACGAGGAAACCCAGGCACCAAGUCAUUAAGUAACUUGCUUGGGAACAUCCAGCUAGUGUGUCUCAGAACUGGGACUUGAACACUGGCCUCCCCACACUCCUUAUGAAAUGAAAUGAUGUGAUGUCUAUGUAGAGUGUAGCCCAGUGCCCAGCACACAGUAGGUGCACAGGAAAUGUCAACUUUCCCUCAAGGGGACAGGUAUGUGCAAGUGCACAGGGCAGGGUGGAGACAGAUGCCGCAUGAAUUUCUCCUCCGGUUGUGCCAUGAUUGCUGUCAUCCCGGCCUUCUGGGACAUUUUUUUCUUACUUCUCCAUGAAAUUUGACUCCCAUAGACGUGAGGCCUCUCUGUGGGUAUUCUGUGUCUACGUCUGUGCUCUCUUCCUAAAAGGAACAUCACCCAGCCCCAGAACCAGUUUUGCCCUGGUGAGCAUGCCUGAGGGACGCAUGCCCUUAUGUCCUUAUUUAUUCAACAAACGACCUGGUGUGCCACACCUCAGGGGCCUGCCUGCAUCAUCUGUCUUUUGGUCCUUCUGUCCAUCUAGGGCUCCCAGCAUAAGAAUUACUGUUGCCAUUUGCAAGGCACAACUUAAAAGUGGUGGGAGCCUGCUGGCUGCAAAGCUUGUCCCCCCUCCCAUGCCAUCCAGCAGCGCUGGACUUAGGCGCAGCAGGGGCUCACCCAGAUUCCUGUGAGCCGCCCCUCUUCCCUUUGUUAGAGGGCAGAUGAAUGUGCUUGUUCCUGCUCUGGCCAGACAGCACUCAGCACAGCCACUGAGCCCAGGAGUCAGCCCCCUGGGGCUGACUGUUAGAGGGAGGGCUAGGGCCUUGGGGACCACCCAACCAAACCCUGUACUUCUCAGACGAGACUCAGAGGGACCUAGUGGCGGUGGGACGAGGAGCCAGGCCAGGCGUUGGCACUCUGGACAGGCACAGGCAGGGAGGGGGUGUUUUCUGUACACACAGCUGUGUUGAGGCAACAGGGUCCAGGCCACGGCUGCACCUUUCAGGUGGGGCCACUCUGCCUUCAUUCUGAGCAGACUGGACACCCACCAGGAGGCUGCGGAAGGCUCCUGGCCAGCAGGCUCUGACAUCCGAGUGUCAGAUCCUGAGGCUGGGCUGGCUGCAUGUGGAGGAGGCUCUCCUGCUAGUGUGUACCUUUCCCCUGUGGUGGCCAGCCCAGCUCUGCAGCCUGGGGAGCCAGCAUCUGGCUAUCAGGUUGUGCCUGUCUCCAGGGACCUCGCUCUCUGCCGGUGCCUGGCUGUGGGUACAUUUGGGUCAGAGACACAGGCCUCCUUGGUCUGGGCAGGUUCAUUCCCCUGUGGUGCCUCAGUUUCCCCACUUAUCACCCACUUAUUCUUUCCUGCAUUUAACUAAUGUGUAUGGAGCACCUACUGUGUGCUGGGUCCUAUUCUGAGGGCUGAUGAUGCAGCAGUGGACAAGAUAGACAAAACCCCUGUCUUUAGGGGCUCACGGAGAACAUAUAAGCCCCCUUCACAAGGUGGUACAUGGGGCCUCCCAGGGGUCCCAUCUGCAGUGGGCACAGCACAAGGCCCAGGGCUACUCGGAAGUCAAGUGUUUUAGUCCCUGCUCCUUCUUUUAUAAACUGCAUGUCUAUGAACAUUAAUAGAUUUUCUGGGUUCCAUCUGAUUCCUCAUCUGUCAGCUAGGGGUGACAGACCUGGUCCCUAGACUGCCGUGAGACUCAGAUGCGCUGAGUGAUGGGGAGGUGUACGCUGUAAGGCUCGGGUACACUCUGACUUUCCUUGCUGUGACCGUGUUUACAGCUGGCAAUGACCUCUCGUGCCCACUCACUGACUGGAGCCUCAGCUACCUCUGAGGUGUGUGUAGGGAUUAGGCCCAUUUUACAGAAGAGAGGGCUGAGGUGUGGAGAGAUGGGUUGACUUGGGAGAGAAGGGUGACACUAUGGGGUUAGCUCCAGCUUUGCAGUCAGGCAAGGUGGGGACUUUGCCACCUAGUUGAUUUGCCACCUAGUUGAUGUGUGAGCAUGACUCACUUAUGAAGGGGUGGAUGCUGUCCUUCCCUCCAGUGGUCAUGAAUGUGAAAUGAGAUUGCAGAGCUCAAGUGUUAGGCAAAUGGUAUCCCACUUGGUGCUAAACCCCAGGUCUCCUGCCCUGACCAGGCUCCAGAGAGCGGGGCAAGUCCCAGCCUCCAUGGAGCCUUCUGCGCAUGGGGACUAUUGUGGCAGGGCUGUCCCAAUGAGUGCUGGGUCACUGGAUCCAGAAUACACACACCGUGAAUGGAGCCUGCCCCAGGGUGUGUGACUUGGCUGCCCUGUGCAGGGCCUGUGUUCCCCGAGUUCCUGGCAAUUAUGGACCAUGACCUUGGAGAUUAAGUGCUGGUGGGUCCAGCUGGCCACCGAGGUGACAGGAGGUGGUGUUUAGGGCCACUCCACAUCUGCCCUGUAAGCAAACUUCCUGCUGUAUGCUGAGCUCACAGGGCCCCUGGGCCCUGCCCUGCCAGCUGUCCCCCUCAGAGCUUAACUAACUGGGAGAGGGCAGGCAAUGACCAGAAGGUGAACAGGCCAGGAGAUGUGGGGGCUCUGGAAACCCCACUACUUACAUUUUUCUGAGGGCUGACAAAGCUUCUCCACAUUUUUCCUUCCCUGCAUCUGUGCAAUGGGAAUUAUUAUCCCAUUUUAUAUGGAGGAGAAAAGGGUUCAGAGACUGUGUGUGCGGGGAGCGGGUCACAUAGCAAGAGAACUCAGCUUGCCUGACACCAGGAGCACUAUUCUUUGUCUUGCCCUCUCCUGCAAAUGCCUCUGGGUGCUCAGAGAGGGCAAGGGCCCUGCUGGCUUCCUCAGCAGGGCUCCUGGCUGAUGUCCUGUGUUCUACUGCUACCCAGGCUGGGUUCAAAUCCAGGUUUCCAUCAACCUGCUCUGUCACCCUGGUCUGUGAUGCGGAGCAGUGAGCCUGCUUCCCUGGUGGCUUGGGCCAAGAAGACAUAGUACCUGAGAAGGCUGUGUCCCCCGCAGGUGCUGGAUGCUUCCUGGAGGAGGCAGCAGCCAGUUCCCAGCACAGGUCCCUGGUGUGUAAUCCCAUCCCCCACCUCUUCUGUCCCCUUUGCUGGCUUCCUGCUACUGGCCCCUCCUUGGUCUCCACAGCAAGACCACUGGUGUGUGCAAUGGGAAUUAUUGAUUCCCCAGCCAGCUCCAUGCUGACUCGGACUUUCUGAGCCUGUGCAGGCUUACCUUACAGGACACCUGUGACAAGAGGUCCUGGCCCCACCCCUCCUUGAAGCCCUUCGACAUAUGAAUGGCCCCUAUUGGUGCAGCAUGUGCUACAAGACUUCUUGCAUCAUCUGACUUCAUUUUCACACUAUCUGAUGAGAUAGAUGCCAUUAUUGUCCCCAUUUGACAGAUGGGGAAAAUGAAGUCCUGAGUAUUGGAGUUACUGAGCCAGGAUCUCCCACCCAAACCAUGGCAGAGCCAUGGCUGAACCAGCUGGUGCUCAGAAUCAGGACCAGCUGAGGGACUCAGUGUCAGGAGUAACCUUCAAGAUCACCUAGUCAGUCCCGUAUCUGUCAGUGUCCCCCAAAGCUGUAGCAGCCUGGCCACAGGCCAGUGACCCUCCCACCCCCCAGGCCUGGGCAGGGAGGCACUUGACCCUUGAAGAUGAGCUACCCACCAGGGCGCUGAGAGGCAAGAGCCAGUCUCACUCCUGCCAGUGUUGGUGUGGCUUGUUCUUGGAACCUGGCCUGCAGAGCUUCAGAGGACCUGGUCUUUGUCUCAAGUCCCUGAGGGUGGUUCAGUGGCUCAGGGUGGGGGCGGGGAACAGGCUCACAAAAGCUAAGCCUUACAGGGUAAAGGUGGUGGGCUCGGGACAUGGCAGACUCCCACUCCUGGAGGUGGGCACAUAGAAGUAAUGUCCGGGCAGGCCUGCCAUAGCUAGGCCCCAAGCACCCAGAAGUCCCACUCUGCCCUGAGCCUCGCAACUCUGAUCUUGCAAAGGAUUUUUCGGUCAGCUGUCCGCGUCUUCCUGUUCAUGGAGCAUGGCUCAGUGAUCCAAUGACAUCCCUGAACUCAUGCCCUCUGCCCCCCCUGCCCUGGGACAACUGGGCAGUGUCUGUGCAGUGACAGAGAAGAGCCCCAUAAGGACAGAGCCAGGAGUGGGAGCUUGACCUGGGGAGGGACACAUCGGAACACAUCAUGAGGGGACUGCGCAGCAGAGGAGCGUGCUGGGGAGAGCCUUUCCCGGCAGAAGGAACUGAGGCGGCAGGAGGGCAGGCUGCGCAUGCCCAGUGUCAGCUGUGUUCAUGGGGCACGCAGGGGCUGCUCGGAUCUGGACCGUGAGCUUGGUGCGAUGGCGCACGCCUGUCAUCCCAGUAGCUCGGGAGGCUGGGGCAGGAGGACUACAAGUUCAAAGCCAGCCUCAGCAAUUAAGUGAGGCCAUGUCUCAAAACAUAAAAGAGGGGGGAAAAAGCCCCAAAACAAAACAACAGGCAGGGGUUCAACCCCUGGUUUUAAAAAAAGAAUCUGGACUGUGGCAUGAAGCCUUCCCCACCUCUCGCCCCCCGCACACAGCAGGGUCUUGUCCUGGCCUGGGCUAACAGCCUUUCUUCUUUCUGUAGGACCCCAAAGGUGGUUGCCAUCCCUACAUACGAGGAGGUCACACACUGCCCACUGGCUGAGGGGCCCCCAGCACCAACUGUGUGCCCCAAGGAGGAAGGCCGGAGGUGUGGCGACGCAGGGGAUGCCCUGCUGGGGACUCCGCCCCCCUUGGCUCCGCCCAG
rnacentral:lncRNA from 1 species